CGACACACCGUGGCAGUAACGCCUACGCGGCCAGCAAAGAGUUGCCUUCGAAAGAGAAGGAAUAUAAUUGCGCGCGAUCGAUAAAUUCUCCGAACGUGCAUCAACAACUCCAUUUUGCACAAAUAACGUAUAUUUCCGCUAAUGAAGUGCCUUAGCUGCACUGACUUCCCCUUGUUCCCCUGUAAAACAUUAAUGUAUGCCGUCGUAAAACGCUGCUGCACUCGUCUCGAAAGGUGGAGCACAUCGGGGGUGCGCUCCAAGGACAGAGAGAGGAGGGGAGGAAGAAAGAAAAAAAAUGAUAUAUGCACGUACUAGUAAGUAUUCAUUUUUCCCCCCCCCUCUCCCUCCCCGAAAAGCAAAUUGUACGCGUCGACUGGCUGUUCGAGCGUGCAAUUAAAUUUCAUCAAAAACGGAAAACUCUUCGUGGCACCAUGGGGUGAGGCGAAAUACG